GCACCACCAAAAAAGUCUAUGAAAUACAUUUCUUUAUGUGAUGACAGAAGAAAGUAUUACAGAAUUUUAACCAGUAUAAAACAACUGCCACAAAGAAGAGGCAUAAACACGUCCAGAAAUUUCCUCAGGUUUACACUGAUCAGAAGAAAGAGUGGCAAGAUGGGGACAUCUCCAGUGCGAGAAG